UUAAGCAUAUCAAUAAGCGGAGGAAAAGAAACCAACAGGGAUUGCCCUAGUAACGGCGAGUGAAGCGGCAACAGCUCAAAUUUGAAAUCUGGCGCAAGCCCGAGUUGUAAUUUGUAGAGGAUGUUUCUGGCGACGUGCCUUCCGAGUUCCCUGGAACGGGACGCCAUAGAGGGUGAGAGCCCCGUACGGUUGGAUGCCUAGCCUCUGUGAAACUCCUUCGACGAGUCGAGUAGUUUGGGAAUGCUGCUCUAAAUGGGAGGUAUACGUCUUCUAAAGCUAAAUACCGGCCAGAGACCGAUAGCGCACAAGUAGAGUGAUCGAAAGAUGAAAAGCACUUUGAAAAGAGGGUUAAAAAGUACGUGAAAUUGUUGAAAGGGAAGCGUUCAUGACCAGACUUGGGCAGGUUGAUCAUCCGUGGUUCUCCGCGGUGCACUCUGCCUGCCCAGGCCAGCAUCAGUUCGCCCCGGGGGAUAAAGGCUUUGGGAAUGUGGCUCCCUCGGGAGUGUUAUAGCCCACUGUGUAAUACCCUGGGGUGGACUGAGGUUCGCGCUCUGCAAGGAUGCUGGCGUAAUGGUCAUCAACGACCC
rnacentral:rRNA from 1 species